rnacentral:rRNA from 1 species
UACGAACGCUGGCGGCGUGCUUAACACAUGCAAGUCGAACGGAAAGGCCCCUUUGGGGGUACUCGAGUGGCGCACGGGUGAGUAACACGUGAGUAACCUGCCCUUGACUUCGGGAUAACUUCAGGAAACUGGGGCUAAUACCGGAUAGGAAUCCUUGCUGCAUGGUGGGGGUUGGAAAGCUUCGGCGGUUUUGGAUGGACUCGCGGCUUAUCAGCUUGUUGGUGGGGUAGUGGCUUACCAAGGCUUUGACGGGUAGCCGGCCUGAGAGGGCGACCGGCCACAUUGGGACUGAGAUACGGCCCAGACUCCUACGGGAGGCAGCAGUGGGGAAUAUUGCACAAUGGGCGGAAGCCUGAUGCAGCAACGCCGCGUGCGGGAUGACGGCCUUCGGGUUGUAAACCGCUUUCAGCAGGGGCGAAGCUUGUGGUGACGGUACCUGCAGAAGAAGCACCGGCUAACUACGUG